rfam:Camelus ferus unplaced genomic scaffold scaffold1187, whole genome shotgun sequence.
AAGGGUAUAGCUCAAGUGGUAGAGUGCAUUCUUAGCAUGCAUGAGGUCCUGGAUUUGAUUUCCAGUACCUCUG